rnacentral:rRNA from 1 species
UACGUAGGGGCAAGCGUUGUCCGGAAUUAUUGGGCGUAAAGAGCGUGUAGGCGGUCCGGUAAGUCAGCUGUGAAAGUCAAGGGCUCAACCCUUGAAAGCCGGUUGAUACUGUCGGGCUAGAGUCCGGAAGAGGCGAGUGGAAUUCCCGGUGUAGCGGUGAAAUGCGCAGAUAUCGGGAGGAACACCAAUGGCGAAGGCAGCUCGCUGGGACGGUACUGACGCUGAGACGCGAAAGCGUGGGGAGCAAACAGG